UCCUACGGGAGGCAGCAGUGGGGAAUUUUGGACAAUGGGCGAAAGCCUGAUCCAGCAAUGCCGCGUGUGUGAAGAAGGCCUUCGGGUUGUAAAGCACUUUUGUCCGGAAAGAAAUGGCUCUGGUUAAUACCUGGGGUCGAUGACGGUACCGGAAGAAUAAGGACCGGCUAACUACGUGCCAGCAGCCGCGGUAAUACGUAGGGUCCAAGCGUUAAUCGGAAUUACUGGGCGUAAAGCGUGCGCAGGCGGUUGUGCAAGACCGAUGUGAAAUCCCCGAGCUUAACUUGGGAAUUGCAUUGGUGACUGCACGGCUAGAGUGUGUCAGAGGGGGGUAGAAUUCCACGUGUAGCAGUGAAAUGCGUAGAGAUGUGGAGGAAUACCGAUGGCGGAGGCAGCCCCCUGGGAUAACACUGACGCUCAUGCACGAAAGCGUGGGGAGCAAACAGGAUUAUAUACCCUGGUACUCCACGCCCU
rnacentral:rRNA from 1 species